AAGAAAGAGAGAGAAUGAGAGAGAUCCUUAAAAUGAUACUAAACAUUCUUGCGACACCAUAAGCCUUAACUCUGACUCUCUUUCCCUGCCUUUUAUGAAUAACAGAAAAGAGAACUUUUAUCCUGAUCCACCAUAGUUUCUUAGAGAAAAUCCUGCUCCCAAGUAGAGUGCUGGAUUUCCAUCUCAUUCUGGAUGUAGCCGGAAUUGGGUUACAAUCAUUCUGAACCACUGAGUGUGACACAAGUCAAAAUCUUUGUUCCUAGAGAUUGAGAUAUUAGUCAGUGAUGUCUGGCUCUGAAAUGGUUAUUUAUAGAUUGGAACGACCUGAAGCAGCCAGCAGAGUGACAAAUGAGGAAGAGGACAGAAUCCAGCUGAAGAAGCUCUGGAAGAUACCAUUUGAAGUCUGAGUGCUUGAACUCGCAAAGAAAGCACCCCCGGCUCCCAUCGCCCCUCCUAUGGCCUCCUACCUGCAGAGAAGCAGAGCAGGCAUACCCAGUGCCUUAGGCGGGCCAAGCCUAGCACUGUGGGAGCAAAAAACAUGGCUUCAUCGUCAGGGUGAGCUAUGGCCAGAAGGGUCCGGCUUUCGGCUCCCAGCCGUCCUCCCUGCUCCCGACUCUUCACUCGUUCUGAGGAGUUCCAAACCCAGAGGAAGCCCCACGCCCCGACCGCCGCCGCCACACACAAGAGCCACGUUGCUUCCACUAUGGGGUUGAAGCUGAUGGGUGACAGCCAAAGGAGAAAAAGGAAGGAGACUUACAAAGUAAAAACAGAGUGUUCUAGGACCUGCCUCUCAAAGUGACCGCCAUGAACCACCAGCCUCAGCAUGUGAGAUUGCUGAACCUCAGGUGACCCUGCAGAGCAAUGAACAGGGAAUCUCGUUUUCACAGGACUUCCAGAUAAUUCUAGUGCUUGUCAUAGUUUCAGAAACACAGCACUCGAAGAUCAAUUUGAAUAAACUAAAAUAAGAAAAGACGGCAGACAGGGAAGCAAAUGAAGUGUCUUCUGCAGGCUGUUAGCAUGACCUUUUAAGGAUCUUGUUUGUGAUUAAUGAGAGACAUGAGAAGAGACAAGUGAUGUGAAUGAAGAAUCAAAAGGCAUGAUACCUGCACGAUUAGGGAGAUGAUGCACAGACAACACAGAAAGUGGGCAACUGGAAGAAGGAAGAAGAAGAAUGCCAGGACCAUGAUGGACGCAGGAAAGUCAAGGACAGGGUAGGGUGGAGGGCAGCUGAUACGUCGAGAGAGAAUAAGAAAUGGCCUUUUGAACACGUUGAGUAGAAAUUUCCAGGACAGCCUAACCACGGAGGUCUUCAAAUGAUGUCGUGGAAGAUCCAAUGGAGGGAAGGGCAGCAUGCAUUCCUCAUGAAGGGAGGACCAUUCUUUGGGGCUCCACUCUAUUUUCAGUUCCUACAGCAGUAAUGGGCAUAGAACUGGCACUGAAAAAAAAAAAGAAAAAUGUUAAUCAAUGAGGAAGGGACACAUAGUGUGAUGCACAGACCACCUGCCUGCAGGUGCCCUUGGGAGCUUGUUAUAAAUGCAUCUCUAGGACCCACCCAAGCCCUACUUCCCACUCUCUCAGGGUAGACCUUGAAAUACGAACUUUUACCAAGCUAAGAGAUUCUGAGACUUUCUCAAAUUUGAGGCUUUCAAUUAUAAAGACAAAAAAAUCAAAGCAAGGGAGGACUCAAGAUAAAGAAUUUGGAUGAUGUCCACCACUAGGAAAAAGAAGCGUGUAAUGAAGAAAGAGAAGUAAAGUGAACGCAAAAGUGGC
ensembl:lincRNA